GACAGAGGGGGCAAGCGUUGCUCGGAAUCACUGGGCGUAAAGCGCACGUAGGCGGAUUGCUAAGUCAGGGGUGAAAUCCUGGAGCUCAACUCCAGAACUGCCUUUGAUACUGGCGAUCUUGAGUCCGGGAGAGGUGAGUGGAACUGCGAGUGUAGAGGUGAAAUUCGUAGAUAUUCGCAAGAACACCAGUGGCGAAGGCGGCUCACUGGCCCGGUACUGACGCUGAGGUGCGAAAGCGUGGGGAGCAAACAGG
rnacentral:rRNA from 1 species